UGGGGAAUCUUGGACAAUGGGGGCAACCCUGAUCCAGCCAUGCCGCGUGAGUGAUGAAGGCCUUAGGGUCGUAAAGCUCUUUCGCCUGUGAAGAUAAUGACGGUAGCAGGUAAAGAAACCCCGGCUAACUCCGUGCCAGCAGCCGCGGUAAUACGGAGGGGGUUAGCGUUGUUCGGAAUUACUGGGCGUAAAGCGCACGUAGGCGGACCAGAAAGUUGGGGGUGAAAUCCCGGGGGCUCAACCCCGGAACUGCCUCCAAAACUAUUGGUCUAGAGUUCGAGAGAGGUGAGUGGAAUUCCAAGUGUAGAGGUGAAAUUCGUAGAUAUUUGGAGGAACACCAGUGGCGAAGGCGGCUCACUGGCUCGAUACUGACGCUGAGGUGCGAAAGUGUGGGGAGCAAACAGGAUUAGAUACCCUGGUAGUCCACACCGUAAAACGAUGAAUGCCAGUCGUCGGGUAGCAUGCUAUUCGGUGACACACCUAACGGAUUAAGCAUU
rnacentral:rRNA from 1 species